rnacentral:rRNA from 1 species
GACGAACGCUGGCGGCGUGCCUAAUACAUGCAAGUUGAGCGCUGAAGGUUGGUACUUGUACCAACUGGAUGAGCAGCGAACGGGUGAGUAACGCGUGGGGAAUCUGCCUUUGAGCGGGGGACAACAUUUGGAAACGAAUGCUAAUACCGCAUACAAACUUUAAACACAAGUUUUAAGUUUGAAAGAUGCAAUUGCAUCACUCAAAGAUGAUCCCGCGUUGUAUUAGCUAGUUGGUGAGGUAAAGGCUCACCAAGGCGAUGAUACAUAGCCGACCUGAGAGGGUGAUCGGCCACAUUGGGACUGAGACACGGCCCAAACUCCUACGGGAGGCAGCAGUAGGGAAUCUUCGGCAAUGGACGAAAGUCUGACCGAGCAACGCCGCGUGAGUGAAGAAGGUUUUCGGAUCGUAAAACUCUGUUGGUAGAGAAGAACGUUGGUGAGAGUGGAAAGCUCAUCAAGUGACGGUAACUACCCAGAAAGGGACGGCUAACUACGUG